rnacentral:lncRNA from 1 species
CGACCUAAGACCAUAUGUGACGCAAACAGGGGUCAUACCGUACGUGCCGGUGAAGAUAGGCUACCGGGCCAGUGCCGAGUUGUGCUCCUCCGGCUAUCCUGCAACGGGAGCCCUCCUGAAAAAAACAAUUAGUGAGAAAAAAAAUUCGGCAGCACCUCCCUUGUACGGGGAGGUUACCAAACCUGCAAAAAAAAAGACGACACGAUGGCCGACAACCACAAAUACAUCACCNNNN